AUGUGGAGAAGAACCACAGAGAACCACAGAGACACUGGAGGAGAACCACUGACACACGGUGGAGGAGAACCACAGACACACGGUGGAGGAGAACCACAGACACACUGGAGGAGAACCACUGGCAACCACAUACACUAUGGAGGAGAACUACAUCACUAUGGAGGAGAACCACAGAGAACCACAUACACUAUGGAGGAGAACCACAGAACCACAGACACUGUGGAGGAGAACCACAGAGAACCACAGACACUAUGGAGGAGAACCACAGAGAACCACAGACGCACUGUGGAGGAAAACCGCAUGCACUAUGGAGGAGAACCACAUACACUAUGGAGGAGAACCACAGAGAACCACAUACGCACUGUGGAGGAGAACCACAUACACUAUGGAAGAGAACCACCGACACACUAUGGAGGAGAACCACAGAGAACCACAGACACACUGUGGAGGAGAACCACAGACACCAUGGAGGAGACCCACAGACACACUGGAGGAGAAGACCCACAGAGAACAACAUACACUAUGGAGGAGAACCACAUAUACACUGUGGAGGAGAACCACAGAGAACAACUGACACUAUGGAGGAGAACCACAGACACACUGUGGAGGAGAACAACAUACACUAUGGAGGAAAACCACAGAGAACAACAUACGCUGUGGAGGAGAACCACAGGGAACCACAGACACACUGUGGAGGAGAACCACAUACACUAUGGAAGAGAACCACACACACUAUUGAAGAGAACCACCGACAGACACACUGUGGAGGAGAACCACAUACACUAUGGAGGAGAACCUUUAGUGGUGCACUGAUGUGUUAGUGUUGUGCUACAACAAAAAUGUAUUGUAUUUUUGGACAGAAGUGGAGUUGGUUGAAAACGCCCCUGUACUUUUACUCCACACUGUGUUAUACUGUAGUAAUCUACACAAAUCACACUGUGUUAUACUGUAGUAAUCUACACAAAUCACAAUGUGUUAUACUGUAGUAAUCUACACAAAUCACACUGUGUUAUACUGUAGUAAU
rnacentral:lncRNA from 13 species